GACCAGAGAGAGAAACCAACUGCAAUUAACUAUCAAGAAUUUGAUCAAACAGCAAAACCUCUUGCGAGAAGGAAGCACCAACAUAAGCAAAGAGAGAGAUCAACUGCAGUUAACUAACAGCGAUAAGACAAGAGAGAGAGACCUCCUCCAAGAAAGAAACUCCAACAUAACCAAAGAGAGAGAUCAACUGCAGUUACUGUAACUAACAGCAAUUUGACAAGAGAGAGAGACCUCCUCCAAGAAAGAAACUCCAACAUAACCAAAGGGAGAGAUCAACUGCAGGUAGCUAACAACAAUUUGAUCAAAGAGCGAGACCUCUUCCAAGAGAGAAACACCAAACUAACCAAAGAAAAUCAUGAGCUGCGUGACGUAAUUAGUAAUUUGACAGCAGAGAAGAAUGAUCUGAUGGAUAAAAACAGAAACUUGACUGCUGAGAAAGAGAAGCUGCUUAACACCUUUCCAAUUCCGCAAGACUGGAUACGUUUUGGUUACAGUUUUUACUACAUUUCAAAUGAUCAGAAAACUUGGAGUGAUGGUAAACAACAAUGCAUGGAUCGAGGGGGGUAUUUGAUGAUUAUUGACAGUGAGGAGGAACAGGAAUUUAUCUCAGGAUUUCGGAAAAGAGGGUGGAUUGGUCUUUCUGAUGUGGAGGGACCAUGGAAAUGGUUAGAUGGUGAAUUGCUGAAAACUGGGUACUGGAUGGAAGGAGAGCCAAAUGGUCUUAACGGAAAUGAGCACUGUGCAGAAAUCAUCGAUAACGCCAAACCCUUGGGAAGAAACUGGAAUGACAACACUUGUACCGCAAGACACAGAUAGUUUUGUUAACGACCACUGUGGCAUCAGUAAAGAUAGGUAGCAUAAACCUCAGAAGUAGGCUACUCUUGUCAUACUAACUUUAUUGUGUACUCUUGUGUUCUGUAUGGUAUGAUUGUGUACUGCACUGAUAAGGAAGAGUUGGUUUCACAUUUUCAGUUAACUAAAUAAGCUUGCUUACAUAAAGCUAGUAAUGUAAAAUUGCCAUUUAAAUAGUCCAUUAAUCCCCAAAAAGUAUUGUGUUUGUGUACAUACAUAUUCUGUGUGUAUUCACUGUCCAUAAAAGCUAAUGUCAUGAGCACAAGGAAGUGAGAUAAAAUGUUUGUACAUUCAAAAACGUCCCUAACUGCUCAGAGUCCCUGAUUACACAUCAUACUGUAAAUCAUUAGUGCACAAGAUCAAUGAUGUUUCGUAAAACACAAAUUAUCACCUACAAAAUAUCAAAGUCCACUUAUUUUUCUUCUUCGUUUAUUAAACUUGUUCAGAAGUAGUCGUGGUAUGUAUCUAAUGUCAAAAUAUGAUUAGAAAAACUCAUGUAGGCCUACAGUAUGCAUUUAUCUCCAGUAGGGUUACUGCAAUCGGCUUUUCACACACCUAUCAAAAGAUCAACAGCUUCAGAUGAUACAAAAUGCAGCAGCUAGGGUUCUCAUGCACUGGCUUCCAGUAUGUCCCAGAAUUGACUUUAAAGCACCACCGCUUGUUUAUGAAUCACUAAGUGGAAUGGGACCUAAAAUUACCUAUCAGACAUGCUUCAGGAGUAGGCCUAAACACGUUCCAGACCUCUCAGCUCUCAGGAGGAAAACUUGUCAGUAAAACCCGCUAUUAGAACGAGACAUGGUGAAGCACCUUUAUAGCUGCUUUGCGGUUUAGCUCUGCAACCAACUUAAGGCCCCAACUGUAGCCAGUUUUAUCUUAAGACCAAACUGUUCUCAGACGUCUUCUGCUAACUGAUCAAAUGCACUUCCUGUUAUCUGUCUUUUUAGUAUUCUACCUUGUGCCUUUUAUAUUUUCUGUUUUUUAAUUGAACUUACUUUAAUUAUAAACUAUUUGAACUAUUUAUCUUUUAUGGUUUCAUAUUCUAUUACUCUUUGCCUUUGUUUAUGUAAAGCACAUUGUGUAUAAA